rnacentral:rRNA from 1 species
UACAGAGGGUGCGAGCGUUAAUCGGAUUUUACUGGGCGUAAAGCGUGCGUAGGCGGCUUUUUUAAGUCGGAUGUGAAAAUCCCCUGAGCUUAACUUAGGAAUUGCAUUCGAUACUGGGAAGCUAGAGUAUGGGGAGAGGAUGGUAGAAUUCCAGGUGUAGCGGUGAAAUGCGUAGAGAUCUGGAGGAAUACCGAUGGCGAAGGCAGCCAUCUGGCCUAAUACUAACGCUGAGGUACGAAAGCAUGGGGAGCAAACAGG